GGGUACUCAUCGAUUACUCGACUGAUCAAAUCGAACUCCGCUUCUAGAUUGUCCGACCAUACUUCCCUUAUCUUCACAUGUCUUGUAACCCUGUCUGAAUCAUCAAACCCCAUGGUGAGAAAGAAAGAAAGAAAGAAGAACAAUUUUGG